GUAUGAUUUAAAAUAAUUUGUUCUAACUUCUUCAGUUUAAAAAUGUAAGAGGCUAGGAUAUGCCAAACAGGAAUGUGAUGAGAACCUCAAGGGGAGCAGUUAGCAGAGAACCAGGUUUCUAUGAUUUUGGUUGUUUAUGAAAGGAAGAAGAAGAUCAAGACCUACAGUCCAGAAAUCUGAGUUUCCCCAAGCAGUUUACUUUACAACUGAGAAAACUGAAGCCACAGGAUUAACUGACUUGCCCACACAGCUGAUAAGUAUUUUAGAUUCUAUUUGAAUUCAAGUCUUCCUGACGCCAGACCUGAUGUUCUAUCCACCACCUAGCUGCCAUAUCUACAAAUGUAUCUACAUCAAUAUCUAUAUCUUUAUCAUCUUGUUUGAACCUCACAACAAUCCUGGAAGAACCAUUGCAUCCAGUAGUAAGAUCAUGAUGAUUAGAGAUAGCCUUCAACUAGGAAGGAACCUGGAAGGGAGGAGAUAAGCCAAUAUUUCUGCCUGUUGAGCCUGCAGUUAAAAAUAAUUAUAGAGAACAUGGUGAUGUUUCAUAAACUGUCAUGUGGCAGGACAUUCUCAAAUAGUAUCUCUGAUAUUAUUCAGAUUUAUUUAGUGAUGGGGAAUUAACUAUAGAUGGAAUAGAAAACAGAGUACAAAUGGAAAAUAAAAAUGUUUUUUGAUUGUU